rnacentral:sRNA from 1 species
CUUUGUGGACACCAAGAGGAAGAAGAAUAUGGUAAGCUUCCCACACAUUAGUAAGAAAGUCCUGCUGAAGUCAUCCCUGCUGUAUCAGGAGAAUCAAGCUCACAAUCAGAUGCCGGCCUCAGAGCUCAAGGCUUCAGAAAUACCUUUCCACCCUAGCAUUAAAACCCAGGAUCCCAAGGCAGAGGAGAAGUCACCAAAGAAGCACAAGGUGCCUCUGACAGCCGCAGGUCCUUCCUGAUUCAGCUGCAGAUUUGAGCGUGAAGCCUCCUGGGCCUUUAAUGUUGCCUUUAUGUUACCUGUCUGGCCCUGCAGACAUCACAGUUCUCAAAGCCUCUCAAGACAGACUAAUUAUAGCUUAAUUUCACAUUAACUUGGGCAACUUGCCACCUAAACUAUAUACUAUUGUUGACACUAA